AGUGAACGCUGGCGGUAGGCCUAACACAUGCAAGUCGAACGGCAGCACAGUAAGAGCUUGCUCUUACGGGUGGCGAGUGGCGGACGGGUGAGGAAUACAUCGGAAUCUACUUUUUCGUGGGGGAUAACGUAGGGAAACUUACGCUAAUACCGCAUACGAUCUACGGGUGAAAGCAGGGGAUCUUCGGACCUUGCGCGAUUGAAUGAGCCGAUGUCGGAUUAGCUAGUUGGCGGGGUAAAGGCCCACCAAGGCGACGAUCCGUAGCUGGUCUGAGAGGAUGAGCGGCCACAGUCGAAUGGAGACACGGUGCCGACAACGACGGGUGCGGGAAGAGGGGGUUGUUGGAGAGUGGGAACAGGCGGAAUCCUGCGGAACCGAGGGCGAGAAGGAGGUGUUCGACUUGUAGGUGUAUUUUGUUGGGCACGAAAAGCAGGACGUCCAUGCGUCAGUGUUGUGACGGUAGCCGAAGAAUAAGCACCGGCUAACUUCGUG
rnacentral:rRNA from 1 species